ACCAUGGUUUUUACGCUCAUAUUUCUGCAGUAGAGAUAAACUCAAUUUCUUCUUCUCCUUCUUCAGUUUCAUUUUGGUUGUCUUUAACAUAUUUCUAUUGCAAAUUCUCUCUGAUAGUUUUUGUAAUGAUGCUUUAAGAGCAAGAGAGGCUUGAGUUUGCUGUGUAUUACUAGUGGUUGUGAGAGUAGAGUAAUAUUGUUGGGUGGAAGGGAAAUAAGUCACGGGAGGGUUUCGAGAUCUCAAUAAAAGAACCAAUUGUUAGAGAAGUAGAACUACUUUACUGAAAAUAAAAGAAACAAAGCAGUAAAACAGUAAAUAAUAAAGAAAGAAAAAUUAACUAAAGAAAAUAAAAUAACAUUUGGAUUCAUUUCAUUCCUUUAGAUGGUUUGUCAAAGACACUACAUAUAGGAUUGCUAUUGGAUAAUAAGAAGAUUGUCGUUGACACUUCUACUUUGGGCUGAAAAACACAAGUGAAAGACGAAAAUGUCUGUUGGCAAUUAACUGUCGCCGAUUAAAACACAUAAGUAAUAUUAUCAUGGCUCACGUUCUUUAUCAACUAAGUGGGAAAAGCAUGUGGAACUAUAGUCCCACAUAGCUCCAAUGUAGAUUCGCCCAUGCAGUGGAGCAAAUUAAGGUGGUUUCUUAGUAUGAAUAGGUUGAAAAUUCAUAUUUGUUUAUUCUAUGACUGGUGUUGGAAUCCAAUGGAUAGUUUAACUAGAUCAUUUUUUGAUAGGGGUUGUGUUUUGGGUGUGAUAGGCGAACCGUGUUUGGUUAGGGCUUGUUAUGGGUGUCACUUUUGUUUUGCGGAACUUAGGCUUUGUUUGUGAGUUUGGAGGGGAGAGGAAGGGAAGGCUUUGAGAGGUGGAAAAUAUGAGGGAAAAUUGAGAAAUAUGAUUUAAAUUUUUUAAACGAGUAGUUUUUUAGAGAAGGGUUUAGUAUUAUGAAGAAAAGUUAACCCCCAAAACUCUCCCCUCCCAUUUUUCUCUAUUUUUGCCACUGCUCAUUCCUUUUUUCCCUCCAGCUUGUUGAUAAUAAUAUAUGUUGAUUAAAAAAAACAGGAAUUGUUAGUAGUCUGCAAAUCAAAGAUCAAUACUAAAUGCAGAUACUUUAGUGUGAUAAUACCCUACCAUUAACCUUGAAUACAAAUUAAUCAGCUCUUACGUUCCGUAUAUUGCCAAUGAAUCUAAUAACUUUCUCAAAAAUAAAAUAGAAUAACAACUUAAACACAAAUACAGGAAUAUCCCAAAUCAGGACCCAUUUUGCAAAGUCUUGCUAACCUCAAAAUUUCCCUGUUAUAAUAAGAAACAAGUUUAUUUAUUUAUUUCUUAAUUAUAUCAUAAUAUUUGUACGAAGUUUUCACUGCAUGUUAGCAGUGAUUAAUCUCCGUCGAGGAACUUAUUAGACACACAAGAUAGAUUUUUCUUUCCAUCUAGAUUUUAUUCCAUACGCAUGAGCCAAAAAUUAUAUUGAACCCCUAAUCAGAUACUUAAGGGGUUUAAAUCUUUUACUACUUAAACCAAUUCAUUCCUGGUAACUAGUUUAAUUUAUAUUAAAUGAGAACUGAUAACAGAAUCAUUAAAAGAAGUGCGAAGAUAAAACAUGCAUUCCCAUCCAUAGUUAAUAUGGUUACACCAUAGUUAAUAGAAUUUGCCAUCUUAUAAAAUAAAUUGUAAAUACAUUUGUUUUAAAUCCUCUUAUAAAAAGAAAUUGUAAAUACAUUUGUUUUAAUUCAAAAAUCAUAUUUUAAAAUUUGAGGGUAUCAAAUACAAUUUCCACAUUGAUUAUGCUAUAAUUG
rnacentral:lncRNA from 1 species